rnacentral:rRNA from 1 species
UCUGACCGAGCACGCCGCGUGAGCGAUGAAGGCCUUCGGGUCGUAAAGCUCUGUUGUCAGAGAAGAACAAGUACCGGAGUAACUGCCGGUACCUUGACGGUACCUGACCAGAAAGCCACGGCUAACUACGUGCCAGCAGCCGCGGUAAUACGUAGGUGGCAAGCGUUAUCCGGAAUUAUUGGGCGUAAAGCGCGCGCAGGCGGUUCUUUAAGUCUGAUGUGAAAGCCCACGGCUCAACCGUGGAGGGUCAUUGGAAACUGGGGAACUUGAGUGCAGGAGAGAAAAGUGGAAUUCCACGUGUAGCGGUGAAAUGCGUAGAGAUGUGGAGGAACACCAGUGGCGAAGGCGGCUUUUUGGCCUGUAACUGACGCUGAGGCGCGAAAGCGUGGGGAGCAAACAGGAUUAGAUACCCUGGUAGUCCACGCCGUAAACGAUGAGUGCUAGGUGUUGGGGGGUUCCACCCUCAGUGCUGACGUUAACACAUUAAGCACUCCGCCUGGGGAGUACGGCCGCAAGGCUGAAACUCAAAGGAAUUGACGGGGGCCCGCACAAGCAGUGGAGCAUGUGGUUUAAUUCGAAGCAACGCGAAGAACCUUACCAGGUCUUGACAUCCUCUGACCACUUGAGAGAUCAAGCUUUCCCCUUCGGGGGACAGAGUGACAGGUGGUGCAUGGUUGUCGUCAGCUCGUGUCGUGAGAUGUUGGGUUAAGUCCCGCAACGAGCGCAACCCUUGACCUUAGUUGCCAGCAUUAAGUUGGGCACUCUAGGGUGACUGCCGGUGACAAACCGGAGGAAGGUGGGGAUGACGUCAAAUCAUCAUGC